GUACACUCCUGCGGGAGGCAGCAGUGGGGAAUUUUGGACAAUGGGCGAAAGCCUGAUCCAGCAAUGCCGCGUGAGUGAAGAAGGCCUUCGGGUUGUAAAGCUCUUUUGUCAGGGAAGAAACGGUGAAAGCUAAUAUCUUUUGCUAAUGACGGUACCUGAAGAAUAAGCACCGGCUAACUACGUGCCAGCAGCCGCGGUAAUACGUAGGGUGCAAGCGUUAAUCGGAAUUACUGGGCGUAAAGCGUGCGCAGGCGGUUUUGUAAGUCUGAUGUGAAAUCCCCGGGCUCAACCUGGGAAUUGCAUUGGAGACUGCAAGGCUAGAAUCUGGCAGAGGGGGGUAGAAUUCCACGUGUAGCAGUGAAAUGCGUAGAUAUGUGGAGGAACACCGAUGGCGAAGGCAGCCCCCUGGGUCAAGAUUGACGCUCAUGCACGAAAGCGUGGGGAGCAAACAGGAUUAGAUACCCCAGUAGUCCCAUGAU
rnacentral:rRNA from 1 species